UAGUAACUGCGAGUGAAGCGGGAAAAGCUCAAAUUUGAAAUCUGGCAGUCUAUUUUUUCUUCUUUGGCUGUCCGAGUUGUAAUCUAGAGAAGUGCUUACCUGCACUGGACCAUGUAUAAGUCUCCUGGAAUGGAGCGUCACAGAGGGUGAGAAUCCCGUCUUUGACAUGGACUGCCAGUGUGUUGUGGUGUGCUCUCAAAGAGUCGAGUUGUUUGGGAAUGCAGCUCUAAAUGGGUGGUAAACUCCAUCUAAAGCUAAAUAUUGGCGAGAGACCGAUAGCGAACAAGUACCGUGAGGGAAAGAUGAAAAGGACUUUGGAAAGAGAGUUAAACAGUAUGUGAAAUUGUUGAAAGGGAAACGCUUGAAGUCAGUUAUGUCGGCUAGGGAUCAACCUAGCUCUUUUGCUGGGUGAAUUUCCUAGUCUGACAGGCCAACAUCAGUCUUGACUGCUGGAAAAGAGCAGAGGGAAUGUGGCACCUUCGGGUGUGUUAUAGCCCUUUGUCAUAUGCAGCAGUUGGGACUGAGGGAUGCAGCGUGCCGCGAGGCUGGGUUUCGACCACGUUCACGCUUAGGAUGUUGGCUUUUAAUGGCUUCAAUCGACCCGUCUUGAAACACGGACCAAGGAGUCUAACAUGCCUGCAAGUGUUUGGGUGGAAAACCCUUGCGCACAAUGAAAGUGAAAGUUGAGAUCCCUGUCAUGGGGAGCAUCGACGCCCGGACUUGAGCUUUUAGCAACGGAUCCGCGGUAGAGCAUGCAUGUUGGGACCCGAAAGAUGGUGAACUAUGCCUGAAUAGGGCAAAGCCAGAGGAAACUCUGGUGGAGGCUCGUAGCGAUUCUGACGUGCAAAUCGAUCGUCAAAUUUGGGUAUA
rnacentral:rRNA from 1 species